CGAAGGGCUAUAUAAAUAAAUUUGAUUUGAUUUGAUUUGGAUGGUGGAGCGUGUACUCCACCUGUGGAUUUCUAUUCCAAGAGAAGAGGUCACUUAAACGUACUAAUUAGUAAAGAAAUUACCAUUGUGAUAGCGUGAUGAUGUGACUAUUUUAUGCAGAAAUAGUUUGGCGAUUGGUCACAUUUGUAAGCCCUCACAUAAUAUGCAGGGAAUUGUUGAUUUUGCAAAAAACAAUGCGAUGAGAGUACUGGAGUAAACUCCCAGUAAUCCCUGUGACUGCGUGUAGGUUAAGAUUGGGUUGUAUCAGAGUAUCAGACAUUCCUACCUGUCAGCUAGUAAUUGUUCUGUCUGGUGACAUGAUCAGAGUGGCCUGACUUCUUCCACUUAUUACAGAUGUCCGACUUAGAUAUGUUGAGCAUCCUGCUAUGAUGUCCAUUACCAAGCCGGAACACUCCGAGGCCAACCCUCAGUGCCAGACUGGCAGCCGGCCGGUGGCUGAGCCCGAGACCACUGCUGUUCACAAUAACAGUGGAGGCUGGCUCAGCUGGGUCUUUGGGAGUGGAAGAGUUAAUAAGAAGGAGGUUCAUCUACCUGAGGACAAAGACAGAUCUAUUGUCUGGGAUCCAACUCUGCACAGAUGGGUUAACAAAACUGAGCCCAAUGCUGAGAACAAGUGUGUACAACCACCUCCACGAAUGGGGACAUAUGGAUAUCAGGAGAACACUGGCAGUGUCCCCAAAGGACAGGUCUAUGGGGCAGCAGAUACCCUACAAUGCAUUACAAUGAUGAGACCAACUCAAAGCCUUGGGCCUGGACUGCUUCCUAGACAGCUCUCUGGCUUGCUCCCUCCUUCACACUUUGACCUCAUGGCACCAAUGGUUGUACCACCUGACACUCUACCCUACUGAGGUAUGUUUUGGAAAAUCCUUCCAAAUUGUAUCCAUUCAUCAUUAAAUGAGAUUUUACUUUAACAUAGCAAAUGACUGAAGUAGCAAGGAUGUUAUCUAAUUUUUAUUUUUGUCCAACAGGCCAUUUGCCCAGAUUGGAUUUGCAAUACAUAGAUUUUUUCAGCAUUAAAAAACUUCAGCAUUAAAAAU
rnacentral:lncRNA from 1 species